rnacentral:tRNA from 1 species
CCUGGUGGCUUAGAGGGUAAAGCGUCUGCCUGCAAUGCGGGAGACCCGGGUUCGAUCCUUGGGUCCAGAA